rnacentral:rRNA from 1 species
CCUACGGGAGGCAGCAGUGGGGAAUAUUGGACAAUGGGGGCAACCCUGAUCCAGCCAUGCCGCGUGUGUGAAGAAGGCCCUCGGGUUGUAAAGCACUUUCAGUGAGGAAGAACGCCUGGUGGUUAAUACCCAUCAGGAAAGACAUCACUCACAGAAGAAGCACCGGCUAACUCCGUGCCAGCAGCCGCGGUAAUACGGAGGGUGCGAGCGUUAAUCGGAAUUACUGGGCGUAAAGCGCGCGUAGGUGGCUUGAUAAGCCGGUUGUGAAAGCCCCGGGCUCAACCUGGGAACGGCAUCCGGAACUGUCAAGCUAGAGUGCGGGAGAGGUAGGUAGAAUUCCCGGUGUAGCGGUGAAAUGCGUAGAGAUCGGGAGGAAUACCAGUGGCGAAGGCGGCCUUCUGGACUGACACUGACACUGAGGUGCGAAAGCGUGGGUAGCAAACAGGAUUAGAUACCCCAGUAGUC